rnacentral:rRNA from 1 species
AGCUCCAAUAGCGUAUGUUAAAAUUGCUGCAGUUAAAAAGCUCGUAGUUGGACUUCUGGUGUGGUGCGCCGAGCCCGUCCAUUCGGAUGAGUGCUUGUGCGCGCCUACCAUACUUCUGGAGAGUGUGCCUGUCCUUCACUGGAUUGGGUACAGGCUCCAGAUCAUUUACUUUGAAAAAAUUAGAGUGUUUAAAGCAGGCAUUUGCUAUGAAUACAUUAGCAUGGAAUAAUAAGAUAGGACUUCGGCUCUAUUUUGUUGGUUUCUAGGACUGAAGUAAUGAUUGAUAGGGACAGUUGGGGGUGCUAGUAUUUAACGGCCAGAGGUGAAAUUCUUGGAUUCGUUAAAGACUAACUUAUGCGAAAGCAUUCACCAAGGAUGUCUUCU